GACGAACGCUGGCGGCGUGCCUAAUACAUGCAAGUAGAACGCUGAAGAGAGGAGCUUACUCUUCUUGGAUGAGUUGCGAACGGGUGAGUAACGCGUAGGUAACCUGCCUUGUAGCGGGGGAUAACUAUUGGAAACGAUAGCUAAUACUGCAUAACAAUGGAUGACACAUGUCAUUUAUUUGAAAGGGGCAAUUGCUCCACUACAAGAUGGACCUGCGUUGUAUUAGCUAGUAGGUGAGGUAAUGGCUCACCUAGGCGACGAUACAUAGCCGACCUGAGAGGGUGAUCGGCCACACUGGGACUGAGACACGGCCCAGACUCCUACGGGAGGCAGCAGUAGGGAAUCUUCGGCAAUAGGGGCAACCCUGACCGAGCAACGCCGCGUGAGUGAAGAAGGUUUUCGGAUCGUAAAGCUCUGUUGUAAGUCAAGAACGGGUGUGAGAGUGGAAAGUUCACACUGUGACGGUAGCUUACCAGAAAGGGACGGCUAACUACGUG
rnacentral:rRNA from 1 species